rnacentral:rRNA from 1 species
CACGACCGGCGAAUGGGUGAGUAACACGUAUGCAACUUACCUUUAACUGGAGAAUAGCGGCGGGAGAACGGAAUUAAUACUCCAUAACAUAUUAAAAACACAUGUUUUUAAUAUCAAAGCUCAUGCGGUUAAAGAUGGGCAUGCGAGGCAUUAGUUAGUUGGUAGGGUAACGGCCUACCAAGACAGCGAUGCCUAGGGGGUCUGAGAGGAUGAUCCCCCACACUGGCACUGAGACACGGGCCAGACUCCUACGGGAGGCAGCAGUGAGGAAUAUUGGGCAAUGGGCGAAAGCUUGACCCAGCCAUGUCCGCGUGCAGGAUGACUGUCCUAUGGAUCGUAAACUGCUUUUUUACGGGAAGAAUCCCCCCGUUCUUCGGGGGUUGACGGUACCGUAUGAAUAAGGGUCGGCUAACUCCGUGCCAGCAGCCGCGGUAAUACGGAGGACCCCGAGUGUUAUCCGGAUUUACUGGGUUUAAAGGGUGCGCACGCGGAAUAGUAAGU